UACGAAGGGGGAGCUAGCGUUGUUCGGAAUCACUGGGCGUAAAGCGCACGUAGGCGGAUCUUUAAGUCAGGGGUGAAAUCCCGAGGCUCAACCUCGGAACUGCCUUUGAUACUGGGGAUCUCGAGUCCGGGAGAGGUGAGUGGAACUGCGAGUGUAGAGGUGAAAUUCGUAGAUAUUCGCAAGAACACCAGUGGCGAAGGCGGCUCACUGGCCCGGAACUGACGCUGAGGUGCGAAAGCGUGGGGAGCAAACAGG
rnacentral:rRNA from 1 species